UCACUGGCAGAAACUGAUGCUGAAUUCCUAGAAUGUACAUAGGAGGAGCCUUUACAUCUUGAGAUUGAUCAUCUUGAGACUGAUAACCAUGCACUUCAGGGAAAAAGCAUUUGCUCUGCAAAGAAAUUUCAUCCUCUGCCUCACCACAAGAUUCUGCCCAGGCUGCAGCAGCAGUGGUGACUCCUCCUACCUGUGUUUUCCCCCACCCCCCCCCAAAGGCUUUCCAGUAAAGGUAACAGCUAACAGGCUGAGGAAACCUCACGGCCAUUUCCUGUGCGUGAAGUUUCUGGCGCAGUGGACACAGUGUGCAAGUGUGAAGCCCAGGACCUUCUACUCUCCAGCUGAGGAGGACUACUGGGGAGUCCCGAUGACAGCUGGACUUUGUCACAGGCGGGGAGACCCUCUGGGAUGAUGGGCACCAGGAAAGCAGGACCCUCCACAGCUUCAACCAGGAACAGUUGAUGAAGCAGGAUAUUUGGUAGCAUGGUCUAGAAGAUUGAGCCCUGGACUAGGACUCCAGAGAGCCUCUCCAUGAAGAACUCUCACUGUGAUGCCACAAUUAGGAUAGCAACAACUGCUGGUUGCCGAGAAUAUGUGAGAGAUGAAGAGAGGCAGCUAGAGAAG